UACGUAGGGGGCUAGCGUUGUCCGGAAUCAUUGGGCGUAAAGCGCGUGUAGGCGGCCCGGUAAGUCCGCUCUGAAAGUCGGGGGCUCAACCCUCGGAUGCGGGUGGAUACUGUCGGGCUUGAGUGCGGAAGAGGCGAGUGGAAUUCCUGGUGUAGCGGUGAAAUGCGCAGAUAUCAGGAGGAACACCGAUUGCGAAGGCAGCUCGCUGGGACGUCACUGACGCUGAGACGCGAAAGCGUGGGGAGCAAACAGG
rnacentral:rRNA from 1 species